CCUACGGGUGGCAGCAGUGAGGAAUAUUGGUCAAUGGGCGCGAGCCUGAACCAGCCAAGUAGCGUGAAGGAUGACUACCCUACGGGUUGUAAACCUCUUUUAUAAAGGAAUAAAGUGAGGCACGUGUGCCUUAUUGUCUGUACUUUAUGAAUAAGGAUCGGCUAACUCGGUGCCAGCAGCCGCGGUAAUACGGAGGAUCAGAGCGUUAUCCGGAUUUAUUUGGUUUAAAGGGAGCGUAGGUGGGUUGUUAAGUCAGUUGUGAAAGUUUGCGGCUCAACCGUAAAAUUGCAAUUGAUACUGGCAGCCUUGAGUACAGUUGAGGUAGGCGGAAUUCGUGGUGUAGCGGUGAAAUGCUUAGAUAUCACGAAGAACUCCGAUUGCGAAGGCAGCUUACUAAACUGCCACUGACAUUGAUGCUCGAAAGUGUGGGUAUCAAACAGGAUUAGAUACCCGAGUAGUC
rnacentral:rRNA from 1 species